rnacentral:lncRNA from 1 species
UUAUUUAUUACCCAAGUGUUAGUUGUAGAGCCCCUAAAGUUUAUUCUUUGAACCAUGUUUUUACCACCAGUGAUAUGACCUCUUGUAUUUGGAAUUAUAUUUUUCUCCCCUAGGCUUCAAGACUAGAGGCAGAAACACCAUCUCUAUCCUUAGUCAUUGGUGUUCUAUUCCUACAAAGAAUCAUGCUCACAAAUUCCUCCUACAGAUCACCCCUAUGAUUGUCUUGUGGGAAUUAUGGAAGGCUAGAUGUAGUAAGAAGUAUGGCACCAAAUCAAUCUCUACCUACAAUAUUUUCCAACAAGUUGUAUUACAGGUUAAGAUAUCCACGGGGCUUAAACUCAAUAAGAUGGGUUGGGAUUGGAAUUGGUAGAAGGUUUUCCAGAUUGUUGAAUCCUACAAGCCUACCUCAAAAGUACCAUGGUGGUAUGGACUAAACCGGAAGGCAACUUGUGGAAGCUAAACACUGAGGGGAGCUAAAUUGCUAAUCAAGGCAAGAGUGGAGCUGGGGCAUUUUUAGGAACACAACUGGACAUAUGGUACUUGCCUUGUGUCACCAGUCCAAUUCUUUACUAACAACUAUUAGAGGUCCAAGCAGCCUUAUAGCGAAUUCACUUGUAACGAUCCGACUGAUUGCUUUGCGUUUUAAAACCUUGUUCCCUUAAAUAAAACUUCCCGCACUUUCUUUAGCUAAUUUAUAACUUGGGGGAGGGCGGUUCGUAAGUUAGAAGAGUUUUGAGCCAAAAUGUGUCCAUUUGCUUCUUUAAGUUUUUAUAAAAAGUCCAACUUUGACUUUGGUCAACUUUUUUGGGAAACGGACCCGGGUUUAUGAUUUGACCAUCCGAAGAAUCCGUGGGAAAAUAUGGGACUUGGUCGUAUUUCUGGAAUCGAAUUCCAAGGUCCCUAGCCCGAGUAAAGAAUUUUUCUGUGAAAUUGUUAAGUUAGAGUUUAAAAGAAUUAAAUAAACGAAGUAAUCAUUGAUUUCCUAGGUAUCGGGCUCGGAUUCUAGUUCCAAAACUUGGUACAGGUCCGAAAUAUCAGUUAAGACUUAACUAUGAAAUUUGGUGUCAAUCCGAGUAGUUUAAGGGCGUUUUUGACCCGUUAGAAGGAAAUUUAGAACUUGAAGAUUCAGUGACUUGAUCCAUUUGGUUUUGGGGUUGAUUCCUCGAUUUAGCGUUGUUUUGAGUUUUUCGAGGGUUCUAAUAGGUCCACCUCAUGAUUUCAAACUUGUCGGUAUGUUCGUGCGGGGCUUAGGAGCACCGAGCGUGAAAUGAUCGAGG